AGAUCGACACAGAGCCACGAACGAAUCAUAUGCAGCAGCUCGUGUGUUCAAAAAGAACGAGAAAAAGAAAGGAGGAAAGGCAAGCGUCAACUCGGCUGUAUAUAAACCUGCUAGUCAAUCGCACAGCCGUCAAGAUCGACGUCGAAGGAUGGCGACGUCGUUCGUUGCCGCGCUCCUCCUCGUCACCGUGGUUGCUGUGUUUUCAGUGCCGUGGAAACCACGAUCGUGUCCCAGUGACGAAGCUUAUAGAGAAGUAGGAGCAUGCGACCCAGUCAACUGCCCUGAAACGAGGCCGACUACGCCCAAACCCGGCGAAAAAGAGCUCGUCCAAUCGUGCACUAAGCAAACAAUAUUUGGAUGCUUCUGCCGUGACGGCCUGUACCGAAGAAAUCGGACAAGAAAUGCGUUCCCAUGGACCAGUGCUGGAGCAACUAGAGACCCUGGACUCAAGGCAGUGGUCAUGGUCAUAGGAGUCAUGGCUUUUGCGAAAAAGAAAAAAAAACGUGAAAUAAAUCGGUAGCGCCC